CCCUUUUGCACCUAGGCUGCUUCCUGAGCAGGAGUGUUGCAUAGCUAUAGAACCCCUUCAUCAGCUGGAGAGAACAAAGGUACAAGGACAGAGGCCUUUGCCUGAGUUUUUCUGCUUUCAGAUGAUUCAUUCUUGUAUUGUCCAGACUAUAUACAACAUUCGGAGUGUCACCUCACCUGCAGGAGAAUGGCUCUUGACUCUUCUUUUCCUAAAAGUUGGUCUGGAAUUUUCAGGACGAUUGAUAUUUCAAAUAACAGGGGAGAGGUUGACAAGAGGUAGCCUUAGCUUUUCUGUAGAGGAGAAAGGAGAAUACCUCAUUCUGAUUCUUGAUAUUCAGUAGACCUUUCUGUGAAACCUAGACCUUCAUUUUCUUGGAACCAGGGUUUAUCUCUGCUGUUGUCAUAGUCUUUGAAACACUGUUCUGUGGUGAUGUUGUGAUUUCUGAAAUGAUGCUGUGUGUCUCACACAUGCAGCAUUAGGAGGACAUGGAUUUUGUAAUGCUGCAGUAUUUUCUUUUUAAAUUUAUUUAUUUUCCCUAAGAAAAGAAAACUUUAUUACAUUAACUGAGUUAUCAGAGAAAUGGAAACGUUCUAGGUGAGAAUAAAUGCGUUACUGGUAGCACACAAUAAGAAAAGGCUCACCUAAAUGGACUGAUAGCCUUGUAGCUAGAGCACUUGACUAGGAUGCGAGAGAGCGAGACAGUCAAUAUAUUUGCAUGGCGCAAGGAGGUGAGCUCAGCGUUCUACAUAUCUACCAAGAGUUUCAGCUAUUAGACUAGGGAGCUACCUAUAAUUCUCUGAAUAUUUGCUUAUCUACAGUGGACUGGCUCCAAGAGGAAAGGCUAAUGCCUAAAGGCAUAAUUUAUGUAACCAUAACCACCAACUCAUUUGUUGAGCCCAUUCCCUCCAGCUCUCCCUGUAUGUGCAAGUCUGCAUCUGUCUUCCUUCUUUCAUAGUGAUAAAUUGUUGUUGAAAUAGAUAUUUUCAGCAAGAAUGGAUACAAGAAACACAGAAGUCUCUAACAAGCUAUUAACAGAUGUUGAGCUUUUCUGGCACAAGGAAAAGCUGUUGUCACACAAGGUAUGAUCUUUGCCAGCUGAUCAUGAGACAGUCUCAGGGAGUUUGUUGUGUAAAAAUGCUUAUAAACAUCCACAACUUUUAUGCUAUUGUUAACUGUAAGUACAUUUUUAAGACUAACACUGAUUGUAGUUAUUGUUAUAGAGAUAGAUAUAUAUAUAUAUAUAUAGAUGCAGUUUUUCUUAGAAAAAGUUCAUAUCCUUAUAUUAUCCCUCUCUAAGAAGGGUCUGGGCUCAUUCCCUCUAAGAUGAUUAUUUCUUGAAUGAGUUCUUGUUGUAGGAUGGAAAUAAACCAAAGGGUUAAUGUUGUCGGGGUCGUUACAGUUUCACAUGAGAUGUGUCAUGUUUUCUAAAGUUAUUCAGUGAUUCUUUUGUGUCAGUUGAAAUAAGCACUUCUCUGCUGUUUCACAACUUGUCCUUUGGUAUUCUGUGGAAAUAAAACCCAGAUUGCUCCAGCCAAAACCACUGGCUGUGCAAAAUGCCUGACUGUCCAACUGUCCCCAUUGGCAGGAAGAAGCAGUUUCUGUCAUUCUAAUGAUGUAAAUAGGGAGUCUCAGGCAGUAAUACCACAUUGGUGUCUUCUCUGAGAGCAUGCUAUUGAAACAAUGAAAUGAAACCUAUUGGACACUUAGGUACUUUGUAUUCCUGAGGUUUCAAAAGAUCUUUGCAUUUGCUAAUAAUAAGUAAGCAAUUAGCAAUCUUAUCACAGUUGAAAAGUACUUUUGCGAAUUAGGUGGUAUGGGAUUAUAAACUUGUUCAAAUAAAAAAGAACUUUCUUG
ensembl:lncRNA